UACGUAGGGGGCGAGCGUUGUCCGGAGUUACUGGGCGUAAAGGGCAUGCAGGCGGUCGGACGCGUUUUGUGUGACAGCGGGUGGCUCAACUACGCGAGCAUACGAAAGACGGUUUGACUUGAGGGCUCGAGAUGGACACGGAAUUCCGGGUGGAGUGGUGAAAUGCGUAGAGAUCCGGAGGAACACCGAAGGCGAAGGCAGUGUCCUGGCGAGUGACUGACGCUGAGGUGCGAAAGCCAGGGGAGCGAACGGG
rnacentral:rRNA from 1 species